CAGCCGCCGCGGUAAUACCGGCGGCCCGAGUGGCGGCCACUAUUAUUGGGCUUAAAGCGUCCGUAGCCGGGCUGGUAAGUCCUCCGGGAAAUCUGGUCGCUUAACGAUCAGACUUCCGGAGGAUACUGCUGGCCUAGGGACCGGGAGAGGCCGAGGGUAUUCCCGGGGUAGGGGUGAAAUCCUGUAAUCCCGGGAGGACCACCUGUGGCGAAGGCGCUCGGCUGGAACGGGUCCGACGGUGAGGGACGAAGGCCAGGGGAGCGAACCGGAUUAGAUACCCGGGUAGUCCUGGCUGUAAACGAUGCGGACUAGGUGUCGGGCAAGCUAAGGGCUUGUCCGGUGCCGCAGGGAAGCCGUUAAGUCCGCCGCCUGGGGAGUACGGCCGCAAGGCUGAAACUUAAAGGAAUUGGCGGG
rnacentral:rRNA from 1 species